GUUUGGAUUGCGACUGUAUACCAUUAUGUAACAGAGCAUGCGCGUUUCAAUUUUGAGCUGUUGGAAUUUCCAAUAAAAUUACCCAUACGAGUUACUACGUAUUCUUCAAAUCUUUUGUGGUGAAUUCUUAAAUGAGCAAGACAAUUUGAUUAUGUGUAUACACCGUUUGAAUUGAUACAAAUGAUUCGUAUUGAUAUUUAUAACGGAUUCGUUGAAGGCGCAAACGAAGCGUCUAAAACAGAGGCAGACAAAUUGAGGUUCUUCAUUGAAAAGAAUGGUGGAUACACAUGUCAAACUGACCAUGCAAUAAGAAUACCUGGAACCGAAGUUAUGAAUAACAUUCACAAUUCAAUUAAUCGUUAUGACAGAAUAAUAAUUCUUAUAACAGAUCAAUCUGCUUCAAAAGGAUGGUUCACAUUUGCAGUUUUGUCUGCCUUAGAAAACAUAAUUGUGGAAAAUCACAUGAUACUUUUGGUCGCAUACAAAGGAAAUCGACGUGAAGAUGUUGGGUUUCUGAAAACCGGAUUGCUGUCGUUGACGCCCAAGACGUUUGUCGACCUCACUGAAUGGCAGGGAUAUGAAAGGCUUCUCAAACAACUGAAAACUCCAGUGUGUUUGGACGAAGAAUUACCAGCGGGAAACUUGCAUCUUGGCUUGGUUCAUUCCCACAUAUCCGGUUACAUGUGCUAUGUUGCUGAAGAACAAGAAUUGGUUGGAGAAAUGCGAUGGUUACAGAAAAGAACAAACAACUACUGAUUGGAAAUGUUCUGUUGGCUGUACCAAAAACCUGCGCUGUCCCACAGCAGCUUCCGUCAAAUUCGGCAUCAGGCAUUGUUAUUUCGAAUGUGGAUACAUUUGAGUUUAAGAGAAUACAUGCGGGUAAAAACACAGAGAUUAUGUUGUUACCAUCAACCAGAUAAAGCACGCGAACAACGAGUUGUACGUUUGUGCCCAGGUACCAACUACGAUAACUGCAAUAUCAAAUCUUGCAAAGCAGCACCUUGGGAAAAUAAAUGUCGCUCUCGAGCACCAGCGUUUCUGUCAAUCAUACCAGCAGAUAAUCGAUGCGAAAGGAUGGGGUGACUUCUUGGAAAUCGUUCCAUGUGAAGGCAGCGACGGCAAACAAUACCAAGAAGACUGGGGCAGAAACUUCUCUAAUAAGCUGGAGUUUUGUCCGAUUUUAAAAGGGUAAGUGCACAACAAGAAUAAGUUUACUAGCAUCUGCAUACUAAUCGAUACUUUAUAAUGUAUGCACAUAUAGUACUGGAGCAUUUGAAUGCCUGGCCCGAUACAUUCAAAGAACGGACAUUAGUCUGGCAAUGUACCUUCAAAGUACCUUCAAAUAUAUUAAAUGGAGAGGAUUAGAACGCAUUCUCGUUAACAUACUAAUACGAAAUAUGUAAUGAGUUAUUGUCCCUUAAAACAAAUACCUGCUUUUCAUUUUUAGUAUUCAUCAAAUAUUUAAAUUUAGAUUAAAUUAAAUACGUAUCCAUACGUGAACGAUAUUUGUAAACACUAGUCAGUGUUUGAUGACAGCAUAAGGUUAGUCAUUAUAGCAACAUGUACAUGUGUUCAAUCUAAUCUAUUUACUUCUCAAAUUUUCCAGAUGAGUGUUUACAUAUCAUGUUUUGAUAUUGAUGGAGAUUCUUGUGAAGAGAUCGAAAAAGAGCUACAAAAACAUCAUAUGAACAUCAUACGACAUGAAAACACACCAGGAAGAUUCCUGCUCUCAGAUGGUGACAAUCGAGAAGGAUGGAUAAUAGUUAUUGUAUCGAAAGAAUCGCUGAAAAGCGAACUGCUUUCUUUCAAUCUCAUAAAAGGCCUGACUGCCGAUGAUGAUGACGGCAGAUUGAGGAUCCUGCUUGUAUUGCGCAGCGGUGUGAAUAUCUCAGAAGUACCAAUAUGUAUUCGUUGGGUUACAGUAUUCAGCGAAGAUGAGAAAUCCUACAAAAACUGGAUUGUAAGAACAAUUUUUUAGGAGAACCAGUAGAUAUUGGCAGGGCACUUCCAGCAGGGGAUGUUAUGUUGGGCCUAUGUCUUGAACUACCUGAAUAUUGUGCUGACGACCAGCAGUCACAUCGUACUGUGAAGAUCCGGGAGGUCCAGACGCCAGCCAUUCGAUGUCAGUAUCAGAUACGCCAUUCUUCAUUAAAACGUUUACAACUCCCUGCAUACUCUAUCCUCGUUUCCCUUGUGAGAAACUGUCCUCUCCAUCGACUCCGUCCGUAAAGCAUCUCCUGUCAACGCCGGCAUAUGCAAUACUGUCAUCAUUUUUGUUUAUACUUUAAUCUAUCGAGAAUAAUAGCCAGAGUUGAUCAUGUAUCUAUGGACAUAAGUACACAGGUAUGGUCUAUUAGUAUUCGAAAAUGCCACGUUGAGCGUGAUUUGUCAUCCAUAUUGAAAAGAACAUUUUUCUGUUCUUAACAACUACGCUGUCAAUAGAAAAAACAAAAAUGAGAAACCCUCAAAAAGUUGUCUGGUAUUUUUCAUUUAGCAGACCUUCGUACGAGUUCAUAUUUGCAGUCGAUGACAAAGAAACAUAUACUUAAAAACUAGGUAUCGAUUUUAACAUGGUGUUCGUAGAGCAAGUUCAUGCGGUUAUCACCAUUGAAACCUUGUCAAUUUUAUUGUUAAUACCAUUUAACCAUGUGUACACCAAGUGUGGCUGUAAAUACAUCUAUAAUAAUUUCGUACUAUUCUCCCUUUA